rnacentral:rRNA from 1 species
CCUACGGGCGGCUGCAGUGGGGAAUAUUGCACAAUGGGCGCAAGCCUGAUGCAGCCAUGCCGCGUGUGUGAAGAAGGCCUUCGGGUUGUAAAGCACUUUCAGCGGGGAGGAAGGCGGUGAGGUUAAUAACCUCAUCGAUUGACGUUACCCGCAGAAGAAGCACCGGCUAACUCCGUGCCAGCAGCCGCGGUAAUACGGAGGGUGCAAGCGUUAAUCGGAAUUACUGGGCGUAAAGCGCACGCAGGCGGUCUGUCAAGUCGGAUGUGAAAUCCCCGGGCUCAACCUGGGAACUGCAUUCGAAACUGGCAGGCUAGAGUCUUGUAGAGGGGGGUAGAAUUCCAGGUGUAGCGGUGAAAUGCGUAGAGAUCUGGAGGAAUACCGGUGGCGAAGGCGGCCCCCUGGACAAAGACUGGCGCUCAGGUGCGAAAGCGUGGGGAGCAAACAGGAUUAGAUACCCGGGUAGUC